CAACAACCCAAGGUAUUUCAAAAUUGGCGUCAUUUCUUUAAAACGGUUAUAGGGGCUCAUUUGGAGACUACGAGAAACAUUUUGAAAAACAUUUUCGGCAGCAAGUUUCUAGAAUAUAUUGACAGUUGAAAAUCGAAGUUCAACUUUGAUUUUUUAAAAAUGGUCCCAUGUUUGAUCGGUGACAAGCACAUGUAAACCCUCUGGCCACAGGGGACAGUUGGACAAUGGACAUACAAGAAGACUGAAGAGAUCCUUACCCCUCGACCUACCGGAUAGAUUCAUGAGUGGUUGACAUAGCUUAGAACUGAAUGCUUGGCACUCCACAUAGCGGCUGCUGGGUCGUCAUGUGAGCGGGACUAUUUGGAUUUACAGAUAGAUAGCUUUUGUCACGAUUAACAAGCAAUUGCCAAAUGGGGACUUAGUUUGAAGCUUCUUUCACAAAAUGUACACCAAUAUGGAACAUGCCGAUUGCUAUUAGUUAUGGGGGACAACACAGCCGAAGCCAUAAGAACUUACAAAAACAAAGGGCUAAAGACACUGCACGAUUGGCUCCAGAAAUUGAAGCAGAUAGUGUACGACCUAGAGGUGUUCGGGUUCCAGACAUGGAGAAACAGGUAGGCCUGGGUAACUCAGUGAAUGUUUAGG